CGCCGGUUGACAGGCUACUUCUUUGGCAACGUUGCAAUGCGGCGGCCGGAGGGAUGAGAAAGUUGCAUCGAUUGUGAGCAUCACAAUUCCCUGAAACGCGAGGACAGAUUACUCACAAUGGCAUAUGUUAGAGAGCCGAUAAUGAUCGUCAUGUAUCGGCCCAAGUGAGCAUCCGCAACGUACGCACCCAGCAGCGGAGUGAUGUUGUUCAAGCCAUUGAAGUUAGUCAGAGUCACAGCCGCCUGAACAUUGCUCAUGUUGAGCUGUUGCACGAGGCACAGAAGAACAGUUUGGAGUGAGCCAACGAGACAAGUGUUUACUGUUGUAUUUGUGCCUGAUCACGUGUUUUCUGCAGGGGCUUUGGGAAACAUAACGACAACGCACCUAUGAUGAAGGGGGUAGUUUUCCAGCCCCCCUUGUUCCUCGUCACGGUUUUCAAGCCGUCGAGCUGCUCGUUCUCUGUGGCACUUCCUUGAUCAGAUGGAGUUCGCCUGUUGAAUCUCCGAACCACAAAACCAAGAGAUCUUUGGAGAGAUCCUCGGCCUGCGUGUCAGCAACUUGUUAGUAGCGGCGGGCAUUGUUUGCAACGGGAACAUCAGGAAGAAAACACUCCGAUACUUGAGACUCUCGGACUCUCUCCUCGGAACUAGAGCAGCAACAUCAAACAGACUCAAAACAAACUCAGGCUCAGACGCAGAGAAUGCAAAACUUACACUUACCGCCAACCGCAGCAGGCACAGAGCUUUAGCUCUCGACGAGGCCAACUCCACUUGGAAAUAUCUCUCUCGCAAAAGACUUCAGCAAGUAGCUCAUCGGACGUCUAAGCAAAAUACAACUGGAGCAGGAGCCAAAGGCUAGGCAAACAAGUGCGCUGCUAGCUGGGCUGUGGCUGGACGAGAAACAAGAGGAAGCGACAAAAGGGAAGAGGCGGCCUGGCAAAAGCGCGAAAGACAAAAACAACCAAAUGAGCCGCUACUGCGACUACGAUCUGCAAGCUGAGAACGCGGCCAUGAAUGAGAAUGGUGGGGACGCCGAAUGGGAAUAGAUCAACUUUAAAUGCGCCAGACAGGGAGCAGCCUCUCGCCGCGGCUUUCGUCCAGGAAAACUUGAUCACCCACCAUCGCUCAAGCGGCAGCACAGCAGCACAGCAGCACAGCAGGCUUUUGUGCUCUUGUUCGGUUCGGUUUUUAAUAACGCAGAGAAGAGAAGAGCCAUGAACUUGCAGAUACUGCGGCGUUUAUAGCCUUCCUUUGAAAGCUUCACAUUCGAUCCAGAUUUAAUGCAGCGAACCUGUGCGUCAUCGCGCAAAAGCUAUACGAGCUUUUCCAUCGCUGGAAAGCUUUUAGCUGCACUUCCCGAAAGAUUCACUCUUUCCUUGUUUCGCUGUGUACCACGCCAGGCGUCGCUCCACCUCGUGGCUACAAGUGCGUCCGGUCAAUUUGGCAAGAGCAUUGCUUUUCCUCUUUGGCCACGUUGAUAAGGCUGCAAACGCUCUGUCCAGUUUUUCGGUGGGCGUAAAGGAAUAUUCUGGUCAUGGCCGGUCAAAGUAAUAUAGUUGACCAGAUUGUGGUUGGUCAACGCCCUUUGCAGUUAUCUAAUUAAUUGCACCGUACAAAUUGUAUGUC